GACGAACGCUGGCGGCGCGCUUAACACAUGCAAGUCGUGCGGUACCGAUGGCAAGUCUUCUUGACGAGCCUUCGGUAUAGCGGCGGACGGGUGAGUAACACGUGAGUAGCUGUCCUAGGGAGGGGGAUAACACCUGGAAACGGGUGCUAAAACCCCAUAAGCCUCGAAAGAGGUAAAAGUGCAUCACUGCAGUCCUAGGGUGUGCUCGCGGCCUAUCAGCUAGUUGGUGAGGUAAGGGCUCACCAAGGCCAAGACGGGUAGCCGGCCUGAGAGGGUGUACGGCCACACUGGAAUUGAGAUACGGUCCAGACUCCUACGGGAGGCAGCAGUGGGGAAUUUUGGGCAAUGGGCGAAAGCCUGGCCCAGCGACGCCGCGUUGGGGAUGAAGUCCUUCGGGGCGUAAACCUCUGUCCUUGGUGACGAAAAAAUAGACGGUAGCCAAGGAGGAAGCCCCGGCUAACUACGUGCCAGCAGCCGCGGUAAGAGUACUCUAU
rnacentral:rRNA from 1 species